rnacentral:rRNA from 2 species
UACGAAGGGUGCAAGCGUUACUCGGAAUUACUGGGCGUAAAGCGUGCGUAGGUGGUUGUUUAAGUCUGUUGUGAAAGCCCUGGGCUCAACCUGGGAAUUGCAGUGGAUACUGGGCGACUAGAGUGUGGUAGAGGGUAGUGGAAUUCCCGGUGUAGCAGUGAAAUGCGUAGAGAUCGGGAGGAACAUCCAUGGCGAAGGCAGCUACCUGGACCAACACUGACACUGAGGCACGAAAGCGUGGGGAGCAAAC